rnacentral:rRNA from 1 species
UACAGAGGUCUCAAGCGUUGUUCGGAUUCAUUGGGCGUAAAGGGUGCGUAGGUGGCGCCGUAAGUCGGGUGUGAAAUUUCGGAGCUUAACUCCGAAACUGCAUUUGAUACUGCGGUGCUUGAGGACUGGAGAGGAGACUGGAAUUUACGGUGUAGCAGUGAAAUGCGUAGAGAUCGUAAGGAAGACCAGUGGCGAAGGCGGGUCUCUGGACAGUUCCUGACACUGAGGCACGAAGGCCAGGGGAGCAAACGGG